GUGGCUUUAGGCGCGAUAGUUUUUAGCUGUCAGUUACAAGAAGCUUUUGUACUUGUCUUACAGUUAUGUUUGUUGCACUGCUUACCUAGGCCCUGGAUUAAUGGAGAAAACGAGCAAGUUUAAGCACUUGCCUGUCCAAUUACUACCAACAGACAAUUUACAUUGUGAUAAAGCUAGCUUUAUUUAAAUGAGGUUCAGACAAGAAUUAACUUUACAUAUUAUUAACAGCUUUGGAGCUACAAACAUAAGAAUUGGGAUUACACAGGUCAUGCUAUUGUUAUUUCAUUUUACCUGCUGCAUUUAUUGCAAUAUGGCUUAACGUACAUAGGUAUACAAUUUGUACAAAUUCAGCCAAGUCUGCACUUGUGAGGUGUUAUUAAGAGCAUGAGUAACUUGCAAGCCAAUUUAAACCUGUGGAAACCAACAGAGAUUGUUGGAAUUGCCCAAAGCUAGGGGGAAAAGCUGCCGCUAACAAUGGACAAAGACAGACUGGAUUGUUUGAAACCACAUUGUUCGGCUUUAAAUAUUUAUAUAAUUUGCUCUGAGGUAAGGAAAAAUCUUUUGAUGCUUCCACGCAGGGCAGCACCAGAUGGUGCAAUCACACCAGUGCAAUCAGUCACAUUGCUUGCUGUAUGUGCAGCCCCGAGGAGAGGCAAGCACCUGCUGUAACAAGAGCAUUUGUACACUAAGAGUUGGUUUUAAAAUAAAUUACUAUACAGGUAGGAUAGUGAGCUAUUGUUCACUUGGUGGCAUCGGUUUCACAAAGUGCCAUCUGUAACCUUCACUUUAGAAAUCAGAGCUGAAAGGAUUGACUUGUACCCCAUGUUUGAUUCUAAUGUAAACAACAAAAGGAAGGACCUACUCCUGUUGGGGACAGGCAUUCCAAUGAGGCUUCUUUCUGUCUUUAGAUCACCCUGCUCACCUCAGUCUGCAGCUGUUCUCAGUCCAACCCACCUUAGGUGAAGGUUGCUAGAACUCAGCGCUCCAAACUUUUCUUCAGUCUCUUGCAAUCCAAGGCAGAAUUCAUUACCAAGCCCUUACCUUCCUUUCUACUCCCCCCUCAGGGAAUUGGUAAGAGCAGCAAGGGUCUCAAGAAAUGGGAAAUGCUGUGAUGGGAAAGAGGUUCAGGCAUGGGUUGGGAAAGGAGGAUACUUGUAUGCAGUAUGGACAUUAGAUGAUGUGGGUGGAGGUAUAUCUUGGGGAUGGAUGGGGCUGUGAUCGGGUCUGAGCAGACUCUGGAAAGAGCAGGGUGUGAUUUUGGGUUGUGGCACACCUGGGGCUGCUGUAUGAGCAAGACAGUGGGGAAAGCCUAAAGGGUUCUCAGAAACCUGAGAGGAUUGCAAGUUGAAGGGACAUUGGUCAGCGUAGGUGGAUCCGAAACAGGUCAGGGCUCUCCUUUUGUCUUUAGAAAUAUCAUAAUUCUACAUUAAAAUCAGAACUGGGCUUAGGAUUUACAUAUAAAUAUUCAAAGCAUGACUGCCAAGUUUUGGAGAGAUUUUACAAGGGGAUAAACCUGGAACAAUAAAUAGGAAACUAUAUGUUAUUGAAUUCCACUCCACCAGUAUCAAUUUCCUCUCCAGGCUACUCUACAAAAUUCCUUUAAGGGUACGCCUAAACAGUACAGAAGUAUCAGAGCUCUACAUUAAAAUCAGAACUGGGAUUAAGACAUACAUAUAAAUAUUCAACACAUUACAGUCCAGUCCCAAAACCUGAAGUCUUGAACAAUAGAAAAAGAGUACUGUCAACCUCCUUUCAAGCUACACUGUAGAAAUAAAUUCUGACUUAAUCAGGCCUGCACAAACACAACCGAAGGACAGAUAGAGAUACCUGAAUAGGACUGAAAGGCAGCAAUCUCGAGCACCUUGCUCAAGAAUCUGUGCGUGAUCCAGUUCCUGCUGUUUGACAGACGCACCUUCUAUCAGCCGUAAGUCUCAUGUGUUAUCUUCAGUCAGCUCUCCUCUUCCCUUCAGCACAGAAGUCGAGCAGCAGCUGUGGCCACUCGCUGGUCAAAUCAAGGCAGCUACGGAAGAUGGUGGGAGUAAGGGAGACCGCAGAAAGGAGGUAGGGGAUUUAGGGAUGAAUGAAGAAUUCAAGAAGAUGGGACAGACAGGACGGACACAUUAAGUGAGGGGACGGUAACAACUCUGGCACAAAUUUUAGUGGUCUGUCCAUUCACUCUGAUGUGCAUCUCCAGUCUAAAUGGGACAUUUUCAGCAGAGGCAAAUGACCUUUGAAUGGGACACGUGUGGAUAUACCCAAUAUUAAAGGCAUUGGUUUUAAUGACAAAAAAAGUGAAGUCUUCAAAAGAGCAGGUGUUAACAUCCAAGAAUAAAGGGUAGUGAAUUAAGCUCCUGGUUCUCUCACAGGAUUGUCAGUUGUUUUCUAGCAUUGGUAUCUCUCAAAACGCCACAUGGAUCCUUAGCACAUAUUCAGAGCCUCAGGAGCCAACGAGUUCUGACUUUGUGGACCAUCACAAUCUGUGUCUUCUUGGCAAUCAUCAUCCUGCCACAUUUGCAUUUUCCCAUCUUCCACUGGUGGGUGACCGUCUUCCUCCCUUUCUCCACAUGUUUGCCUACCUAUAUGUUGGUCUGAGAUCUCCACAACCUUCCCAAUCUCCUUUUCCUUCAAUUUUGCUUGGUGUAUGUCUAGGAGGUCUUUGGUUGAAUCUUCUGAAGUACUUAGUUCUAACGUUGAGUUCUGAACUUUCACACUUUCCCUUGAAAUGUCUUCAGGAGUAGUCACAAAGUCAGAAUUCUGACUUGGUCCAUCUUCCAGCACCUCAGAAGUUAAUAGCACGUCUUUUGCUUUUUCUACAGCUGCAUGAAUAUCUGCAGAUGCUGUUAAUGUAACAUGUUUGUUUAGUCGGGACUGCUGGAGCUCUUGCUCUUUACUUGAUACCUCUUCUUCUUUUACUACCUGUGUACUCUCCAAAAGUUCAGGUAAAGUCGUGUCUGAUGGGCUUUUCCCUCUGGACUCAGUGUGCUGUUCUGACUCUAAGGCAGCUGCCUCUUCUGUUUCUGUAAGUUUGUUAACAGCAGUCUGGAUGAUGUUCAAUACGAUUUUUGUACUCUGGGACUCUAUAGUCCCAGACGGAACAACAUCCGCCUCAGAUUCUGUGUGGGGGAGUGUGAGACCGUCACUUAAAGGAGCAGCAUUUUGUUCAGGCUGAUCCGUACUCUGGAAACUCUCUUGCUUCUCUGAUAUUCCAUUAACAUAAGCAUGAGUUACCUGAGGCUGGGGUGCUUCCACAAUACCAGGCUCUGCAGUCUCACAGCCUGAAUAGUCAGGACUAGAAGCUGGGACCUCAUCAGAAGCCAUUUGUUCUGGUGUGGUUGCCAAGGGGUCUACAGUUUUGGCUGCCGUGCCUGUGGGCGUAGCAGCUUCUGCUACAACAUGCUCUUCAGCUGCUGCAGCUGCUACAGGCAAAGGCGCUUCCAGAGCCUCUGAGCUUUCAGCUGGUGGGGAGGCCGAGUCACGGCCUUCCUCUUGCACAGAGAAAACCUCUUGCUGGACAGCUGUUGAACAACAUUCAUCAUCCCUCACAGCUUCCUGUUUUCCAGAUUCAAAUUCUUCUUUGGCUGUUUCCAUCAACUGCCCGUUUAUGUUUUCCUCUUUCUGAAAGUCUUCACUGUUCGAGAGUUCUGCAAGUUCUUGUUUUGUUUCUGCAGUCCUUUCUUCAGCUAAGCUGCUCUGUGUUUCACUUGUCUUAGGACUUAUGUCAGUGCAGAUGGUGCUUCCGUUUUCAGUGACAUCUAGGCAUGCUGAUGCUAAAGUAGAUUCAUCUUCUUCAGUCUUGGGAGGGUGCUCAGUGAGAGCAUUAUCAGACAGUGAGUGUGUUUCAGUUUUGAGCAUGGAAUCUUCUAUUUUACCACCUUUGAUUUCAUCACUCUGGGAGAGUGUUUCAGUUGUUUUUUCUACGCAUUCUGGCUCUAGGAUGGGGACAGAAUCUUUUGCUGUAAUCAACCCGCCAUCCCCAUCCCUCACACUCUGCUCAGCAGCUUCAGCUGCUUCUGAGCCAGUUGUCUCUGACGUAAGAGCUGAGGCUUCUACCUCACUGUGCAUCGGGAUCUCAGCAGCAAUGACUUCUGUGCUCUUUACUCCAAGGAGUACAGCAUCAUCUUCCUCUCUCUGUGCAGGUGCCUCGCUAGGAACUGCUUCAAUACAAGUUUGCUCUUGCGAGUCUAACUCAGGAAUUUCAUCUUGACUCUCAGGAUUGACAGGAACCUCUGCAACAGCUGCUUUUGUGCACACUGGUGCCACGGGGAGUGUUCCACCCUCUCCUUCAAGUUCUGCAGGCUCUUCACCUGUAAAUCCUGAUGCAGAGGUUUCAUCUUCAAUCUCGUUCUGCACUGCAGCCUGCACUUCUGGAAUACGGUCAUCUCUCCACUCAUCUACUGUCAAGUCUCUUUGGGGCAGUUUCUCUUGUUCUGAAGACUUCUGCUUAGCUAAUUGCUCUUCCCUGGGAGUUACUGCUUCACUGUCUUGUGGUGAAGGUUCCUCUGUUGUCCUCUGCACUUCACCUAUUUCUUCAUGGUCUUCCACAACUGCUCCUUCACAUGUCCGCCGCUGCCCUUCAUCUCUCAAUACAUCCACAUUUUCAUAUCCUUCUGCGCUUUCUUUCACUGCAGCAGAUAUUUCACUUCUCUCUGAACCUUCGUGUACCCUCUCUUCAAUUCCAUUUUCACUCUGAACACUCCCUGCACCUUCCAGGGGCUGGACAUCAUCCUCCAGGUGUUCUCCUUUUUUCAAGGACUGUUCAAGUAAAAUCGUUCCCUGCCCUACAAUUUUGUCAUCUUUAGUAUCAUCUUUCACUUCUGACUCAAUUUCUUGCACGGUUGAAAUUACAGUAGCUGUUACGGUUCUUUCAGAAUCCACCCGUGCUACAUCUGAAGACUUCACUCUUUCAGCAACUUCAUGAAGAACUUUUUGUGUCUGUUUGUCUAAUUCUUUCAAAUUUUGUUCAGUGGCCUCUACUUCCUGUACAGGUGUAACUUCCUCUGUAGUAUCUGGAGUUUCUAUCAACUGUGAAACAGCAGAAACCAUUUCAGUUGUCUCUUCAGCAAAGGACACUUCCAUUGUUUCUUCAGCACAGGAAGCUUCUGCUGUCUCCUCUAGAGCGGUCACUGCCUCUGAGGUUAACUCUAGCUCACUUGCUGUGGUAUCAUAACUUACAUCCUUUCUCAUUUCUGGCAUUGUCUUAGCAACUACCAUCGCUUCUUCUACAACAACUUCUGAUUCAAGUGCUUUCUCGGUUUCUUUCUCUUCCUCUUCUUCCUGCUCAAUGCACUCUGUCAGAGCAGCAGAUAUCCAUGAUGGUGACCUUUCUUCAAUGCUGGUAACAGCUCUUUCCCCUUCCACAACACUAACAGUAACUGCAUGUACUAGCCCUUCACUGGCUUGCUUAACACUUAGCGAGUCUUCUGAUUUGCCAGCUCUUUCUUCCUCUGAGCUUCGUUCUUUCAAUGCUUCAGCAUCUUUUACUUGCUGGGCUUCAAUUUUCUCUUGCUCUGCUGCUUCAUAUUCAGACAAAGGAACAACAGCUGGAAUGUCUGAAUCUUCUUCAGCUGUUUCUGCCAUAUCUUCUCUUGCUUGCUUGAGAUGAGUUGGUUCUGGCUUCCCAUCUGACUUUUUCUUUCUACGGCCAGGCAUAAGUUUUCUAAAUGGAACCCAUGAUUCAUCUUUUCCAGGCUCACCAUCUGACGUUGAAUGCUCCAGGCUAGAUCCUGUGACAGAGUCUUCAGUUCUCUCUUCCAUUCUCGUUUUGGAUUUUCUUCUUGGAGUGACUAACCUUUUAAAUGAUUCCCAUGUUGAAAUCCCUUCACCUUCAGAUGGGCUUCCAGCUUGUUCUGGAGAGGAAUUUCCUUGUCCUUGAUCACUCUCCUGAGAGCUAGUAAGAAUCGCAUCCGUUGCAGUUUCUUUGCUCUGUCCAGAUUCUUCUAUUUUUUGGCUUUCCUGACCAAGCUUAUGUUCAGAUUCUUCAUCAGACGACGAUGAUUUCCUGGCUCUUUUCUUUGAAGAACCUACGCAUAUAAAAGCUUCCCAAGACACAGAGGUGUCAACCUUUCUUUUCGGCUCUUCUGUGACUUUCUCUGGUUUCUGGUCCAUUCCAUUUUCUUUCAACUCUACCUGACUUUCUUCAGCUGCGCUUUCAGUUACUGACGUUGCAACGCUCUUUGUCUUAUCAACUUCUUCUUCUUUGUCACUUUCAGAAGGUCGUCUUACACGUUUCUUGGGAGUCACCAUCUUUUUAAAUGAUGCCCAGGGCGUAACACUUUCUCUUUUUCUCUCCACAUCGGAAACUGCAGCAUCUUCAUUUUCUGAGACUUGGGUUCCAUCUACAGAUUUUUCCAAAGAAGGAAUUUCAUUCAGCUCCUCAGGAGAAGAGGCAGAACUCUCUGCCUUUUGUUCUUCUGGGCUAUCUGGGGAGUCUGAUAAGUGUUGAGUUGAUUCUCCUUGCUCCCCUAACUUAGAUUCUUCUCUUUUGCCUUUAUGCUUCUUUCCAGACAGUUUUUUUAAUCCAGUACCUGUAAAUAGUUUCUUUAAAGGGCUGCCUUGUAACUUAGUUUUUUCUUGAGAAGAGAGCAGUUCGGCUUCAUUUGUGAUACCUUCUGGAGGCCUCUUUCCACUUGCUUCCUCAAGAGUUAUUUCUGUGGUUAUUUCGCCUGGUUGGAUACCAUCAGUGCCAAUUUUGCCUUGCAGUCCUUCAUCAGUGGGUUUGACUGACUGUUGAUCAUCCUCUGUGUCAAAUGACUGUUCAGAAGUAGAAAAGGACUUUGGUCCAGCAGCAUCCAGAGCCAGUUUUGCCUCAUCUUCUUUGCUUGCCUUCUUCUCUGUGGUUCCAUCCUGAGCUUCUCCUUGUGUCUCUAACUUUUUAGUGACAACUUCUGUUGUGGGUGAAAUUUCCAAUUCUGCUAUCUCUGUUUUUUCAUCAACUGUUUCUUUCUCUAGUAGAACAGGUUUACUUCCAUCUAUUCCUUCAGAUUUUUUUAAAUCUUCAAUAGAACUUUCCGUUGCUAAUAAAGGUCCCGCUCCAAGUUUCUCUUCAGAGGAUAUUUCAGUUCUGCCAUUUAUUUCACAUUUCUCCGUUGACUCCAGAUCUUUUCCUACAGGUAGGACUUCUGAGGAUGCUUUCAAUUCUCCAUUCACACCUGUGGUGAUUACAGGCAUCACUGACUUUGCUGUUAGUGGUUUCUCUGUCACCUCACUUUCUUUCUCUCCUUUUUUUUCUUCCUUUUUAUCAAGAUCUUCUGACACUUCCACCAAUUUACUUUCUUGAUCUUCAGCUUUUCCCUCCUUGGCACUUGCUGUAGCAACUGCUGCUGCUACAUCUUGCUCAUCAUGCUCGGUUACCUCCUCCUUCGCAUCAAAUCCUAUGGUUGUUUCAGUCUUUGACUCCUGCUUUUCAUCUUCAGUUUGCUCCCUCUCCUGUGUUUCAAUGGUUACCGCUGUCACAUUCUUCUCUUCAACUUGCUUCUCAGACUCUGAUUUCUCUUUUUCACUGGUUUCAGUCGUUAACGUUGCUCCCUCUUUUUCUUGCUCUUCUUUCGUAGGAGACUGCUGUUCAUCUUCUUUGGGCUUCCUAAAACUCUUCUUUUUUCGAAAUCCAGUCCAUCCCUGAGAAAAAAAUUUUCUUAAUGGUGAAGCAGUAUCAGUGGCUGAAGCAGAUGACUGAGAACAAAUCUCAUUUGCUUCCGGUGUUUUAGGAGAUUCAUCUUCUGUUUUUUCAUUUUUCAGUGCAUCUUUGGUGCUGUCUUCUGCAGAGGGUGCAUCUUCAGGCAUCACUGCUUCUUCUGAGCUGGCUUCUUUUUGAUCAUCAGCUCCUUCAGUGACUUGUGUUUCUUUUUUUACAGUAAGUAGUUGAACUGGUUCUGAUUUUCCUGUCUUCUCCUUCUUUACUGUGAAUCUGAAUCCAACAAAUUUAAAAACCUUUUUAAAGCCCAGAUCAUAAGACUGUGGCUCAGAUGCAUGUUCAGCAUCUUCUGCAUCUUCUUCCACAGAUGGCAACUGCUUAUCUGUAUGAGCAUCCUUCUCAGCAGCUACACCAUCCUUAGUGCUUGAGUCAGAUGGACUUGUCUCCAUAGUUUGGGUGUCGUCUUCCUUCAGAGUUAUACUGGAGGGUUCGGUUUGUUCAACCGUGAUUGUUAUGGUCCCCAGCAUUUUUAAAUUACACUAAUAAUAAGAAACUUCCUUCUCACAGUAUGCGGUUCCUGAUAUCUGUGGGUCUGGAGCAGCCUCCUGCCUCACCAGACGCGACGAGCGGGGCGGACCGAAGCCGCGCUCCCACUGCCUCUCUCCCUCGGCAGCUGCCCGUUCUGAGGAGGACCAUUCCCU
rnacentral:lncRNA from 1 species